UGCAUAUCAAGAAGGACAGAAAUUUUUGAUUCAGUGUCUGAAGAACACCUGUCAAACCGAACCUCAUUCGCGCGCGCGAAAUAAACAAGUGAAAACAAAACACCAAAGAGCAGCGGUGAACAUUGCUUAAAUUGUUAAUAUUCUUGGCUGACAUGCCGGAGCUUGAUGACCGGUCUGGUGCCGUACUGAGACGUGCCGUAGACAGCCACCUUUCUGAGCGUUCGUCAGUCAUCGAUUUGCUGCCAGCUAGAAUUUUCCUCGACCCAUACCUACUUCAUUUUCGAAGGUGCUCCACAACUAGCCUCUGGGUGUGCUCUGGGUCUAUUCUGCUGCGAAGUUCUGAUGGAUUCGUACAGUAAAUUACCGUUCUCGUUGUGAAAACGAUUCUACUAGUAAGGCGAAAAACAUUAGGUUGGUGUAGACGGUCUGCCACGAUAUGGCAGCGUAUUUUUCGUGUAAAGCUGCCGCGAAAAGAACAAGCUCCGGAAUUAGCGUUUUGAUUUGGAGACGCAGAAGUAGGUACGUGACAAAAUUCUAAGACCCCAACGCACCGAAAUGUUCUGUCGGCGUUUCUCUUGUUCUGCAACGGUGAAUGGAACAAGUUGCAGGGCAAGGCGCAGUACGAACAGGUGGUCAAGCUGAAAUAGGAAAACGAAUAGACCGGUGGAAUCUCAAUCAACUCGCUGUAAACCAGCACGUAGCAUGCGGUAGUGACCCAACAGGAGAUGGAGAAACAGCUGACCAGGGAAUCGAACGUAGUUUGCGACGAUAAAGGCACUUCUGCUAAUCAUGGAGCAGCUUCUUCACCGGUCUCAUUUAUCAAAUGCUUUGUAAUAUUUCUUUCUGUUUUUAUAUAAUAUUAAUAAAAAAAAAAUGCGGUGGGUGGGGGUGAGGUGUUUUGUUGGGCUCUAUAAAGUCAUCCGAAAUUACAUAGGCUGGGGCUACUAGUUGUAUGAAUAACUACAUCUGCCCAUAAUCGCAUAUCAGUAACAAUCGACAAAAAUAGGCAAAUUACCAUUUUCGCUUGCAUGUGAAUAAACCGAAAUUAAAAAAAAAAAAAAACAUAAACUCCAAAUCAAUCGUUUAGCGAUAAAAUUAUCUACAGCACUUUUUGUAUGCUGAACCAAUAGCCAGAAAAUAAAUAAAACCUUAAUAAAAUUGAUUGCACGCUUUAAAGUCUGGCUAUUUUUUCAGUGUGACUGUUAUGCAAUUACAUGCAUUCAACAUUGAGACAAAAUGACUUAUUUCAAAUAUCCUUGAACAAACUUUAAAAUUUUAUUAGGGUAAUUGAAAGUAGGUACUUCUGUUUCGUUGAUCAUCCCUGGUAUUAACUCAAUACUAGUGAAAAAUGCAAAUGUUACAAAUAUGCAGUUAUGGGCAGUCACUUCAGUUGUUAUAGGAAUGUUUAAUAGUUAAAAAUCAAACUAAGGUACAACGGGGCAAUUUGAGACGGUGGGAUAAGAUCAUAAGUGGAUUAACAUUAAGUUAUCUUAUCAUGAUAAUCUAUUUGAAUGUCAUAACAAAAUAGUUUUUGGAUCAAACAAUCUCUUAGUAAAGGAUACAUUUCCAAAUUGUAUUGAAAUCUUUUUCAAAACUUUGCGUAUAAUCUUGCCAAACCAGCUUCAAGUUGCCCAGGUGUAUCUUAUCAAAGCGUAGGUUGGAAGUCUAAUCCUAAACCAUACGGAGGACAUCAUACAUCACCAGUUCGUGCAUGCGGGUAAGUACAUAUAUUGAAACAAAAAUACCCAGUCUAAUCGCUGAAUUUCUUUAUGUUAUGACAUGUAGGUAGUCAAAACAACAUUUUUCUGUUUUGAAAAUAGAACGAUUUCUCUUAAUCGCCAGAACUAGUCAUACAGAAGGUUCACCAAGUCCUCUGAAGUUGUUUGGUGACACAAAAUGCAUCUACUUUGAAAAUAGAACUAUUUCUCCAAAUCACCCGAGCUAGUCAUGCCGAAGGUUCACCAAGUCCUCUGAAGUUGUUUGGUGACACAAAAUGCAUCUACUUUGAAAAUAGAACUAUUUCUCCAAAUCACCAGAACUAGUCA